CCUACGGGGGACAGCAGUGGGGAAUAUUGGGCAAUGGGCGCAAGCCUGACCCAGCAACGCCGCGUGAAGGAAGAAGGCUUUCGGGUUGUAAACUUCUGUUCUCAGGGACGAAGCAAGUGACGGUACCUGAGGAAUAAGCCACGGCUAACUACGUGCCAGCAGCCGCGGUAAUACGUAGGUGGCAAGCGUUAUCCGGAUUUACUGGGUGUAAAGGGCGUGUAGGCGGGAAAGCAAGUCAGAUGUGAAAACCAUGGGCUCAACCUGUGGCCUGCAUUUGAAACUGUUUUUCUUGAGUACCGGCGAGUCAGACGGACUUCCUCGUGUAGCGGUGACAUGCGUAGAUAUUAGGAGGAACCCCAGUGGCGACGGCGGUCUGCUGGACAGCACCUGACGCUGAGGCGCGAAAGCGUGGGGAGCAAACAGGAUUAGCUACCCUUGUAGUC
rnacentral:rRNA from 1 species